UACGUAGGGUGCGGGCGUUAAUCGGAAUUACUGGGCGUAAAGCGUGCGCAGGCGGCCUCUUAAGUCAGAUGUGAAAUCCCCGGGCUUAACCUGGGAACUGCGUUUGAAACUGGGAGGCUAGAGUGUGGAAGAGGGGGGUGGAAUUCCACGUGUAGCAGUGAAAUGCGUAGAGAUGUGGAGGAACACCGAUGGCGAAGGCAGCCCCCUGGGUCAAGAUUGACGCUCAUGCACGAAAGCGUGGGGAGCAAACAGG
rnacentral:rRNA from 1 species